AGAGUUUGAUCCUGGCUCAGAACGAACGCUGGCGGCAGGCUUAACACAUGCAAGUCGAACGCACUCUUCGGAGUGAGUGGCAGACGGGUGAGUAACGCGUGGGAACGUACCUUUCGGUUCGGAAUAACCCAGGGAAACUUGGGCUAAUACCGGAUACGCCGGAAACGGGAAAGAUUUAUCGCCGAAGGAUCGGCCCGCGUCGGAUUAGCUAGUUGGUGAGGUAACGGCUCACCAAGGCGACGAUCCGUAGCUGGUCUGAGAGGAUGAUCAGCCACACUGGGACUGAGACACGGCCCAGACUCCUACGGGAGGCAGCAGUGGGGAAUAUUGGUCAAUGGGCGCAAGCCUGAACCAGCCAUGCCGCGUGAGUGAAGAAGGCCUUAGGGUUGUAAAGCUCUUUCAGCGGGGACGAUAAUGACGGUACCCGCAGAAGAAGCCCCGGCUAACUUCGUGCCAGCAGCCGCGGUAAUACGAAGGGGGCUAGCGUUGUUCGGAAUUACUGGGCGUAAAGCGCGCGUAGGCGGGCAUUUAAGUCAGGGGUGAAAUCCCAGGGCUCAACCCUGGAACUGCCUUUGAUACUGGAUGCCUGGAGUUCGGGAGAGGUGAGUGGAAUUCCGAGUGUAGAGGUGAAAUUCGUAGAUAUUCGGAGGAACACCAGAAGCGAAGGCGGCUCACUGGCCCGAUACUGACGCUGAGGCGCGAAAGCGUGGGGAGCAAACAGGAUUAGAUACCCUAGUAGUCC
rnacentral:rRNA from 1 species